rnacentral:rRNA from 1 species
UGAACGCUGGCGGCAUGCUUUACACAUGCAAGUCGGACGGCAGCACAGAGAAGCUUGCUUCUUGGGUGGCGAGUGGCGAACGGGUGAGUAACAUAUCGGAACGUACCGAGUAGUGGGGGAUAACUGAUCGAAAGAUCAGCUAAUACCGCAUACGUCUUGAGAGGGAAAGCAGGGGACCUUCGGGCCUUGCGCUAUUCGAGCGGCCGAUAUCUGAUUAGCUAGUUGGUGGGGUAAAGGCCUACCAAGGCGACGAUCAGUAGCGGGUCUGAGAGGAUGAUCCGCCACACUGGGACUGAGACACGGCCCAGACUCCUACGGGAGGCAGCAGUGGGGAAUUUUGGACAAUGGGCGCAAGCCUGAUCCAGCCAUGCCGCGUGUCUGAAGAAGGCCUUCGGGUUGUAAAGGACUUUUGUCAGGGAAGAAAAGACUGUUGCUAAUAUCAGCGGCUGAUGACGGUACCUGAAGAAUAAGCACCGGCUAACUACGUGCCAGCAGCCGCGGUAAUACGUAGGGUGCGAGCGUUAAUCGGAAUUACUGGGCGUAAAGCGAGCGCAGACGGUUACUUAAGCAGGAUGUGAAAUCCCCGGGCUCAACCUGGGAACUGCGUUCUGAACUGGGUGACUAGAGUGUGUCAGAGGGAGGUAGAAUUCCACGUGUAGCAGUGAAAUGCGUAGAGAUGUGGAGGAAUACCGAUGGCGAAGGCAGCCUCCUGGGAUAACACUGACGUUCAUGCUCGAAGCGUGGUAGCAA